rnacentral:rRNA from 1 species
AAUAGAUACCCAGGUAGUCCACGCCGUAAACGAUGAGUGCUAAGUGUUAGAGGGCUUCCACCCUUUAGUGCUGCAGCUAACGCAUUAAGCACUCCGCCUGGGGAGUACGGCCGCAAGGCUGAAACUCAAAGGAAUUGACGGGGGCCCGCACAAGCGGUGGAGCAUGUGGUUUAAUUCGAAGCAACGCGAAGAACCUUACCAGGUCUUGACAUCCUUCACUACCUCUAGAGAUAGAGGGUUCCCCUUCGGGGGACGGAGUGACAGGUGGUGCAUGGUUGUCGUCAGCUCGUGUCGUGAGAUGUUGGGUUAAGUCCCGCAACGAGCGCAACCCUUGACCUUAGUUGCCAGCAUUCAGUUGGGCACUCUAAGGUGACUGCCGGUGACAAACCGGAGGAAGGUGGGGAUGACGUCAAAUCAUCAUGCCCCUUAUGACCUGGGCUACACACGUGCUACAAUGGAUGGUACAAAGGGUCGCGAAACCGCGAGGUGGAGCUAAUCCCAAAAAACCAUUCUCAGUUCGGAUUGCAGGCUGC